GGACGAGUAGCUCAGCUGGAUAGAGCAUCUGCCUUCUAAGCAGAGGGUCGCAGGUUCGAGUCCUGCCUCGCCCA
rnacentral:tRNA from 1 species